GCGACCUCAGGACUCUUCUUUCUGAGGGACCCAAGCCUCUGCCUUCCCCCCACCAGGUCCUUAGUCGAGAAAACCGUGCGGUGGGGGAGGGAGGAGGGGAGCGAAUCGUGCUGUGUGUCAUCCACCUGCCCCCCAGCUCCUGAACUGUCAACCACCGACCCUAGGAAGCUAGACUGUGAGCCUCGAGAUGCUGGAGGCCAACCUGGGCCAUGUGAUGACCCCGAGUCAGAGGAAAGCAGAGGCGAAGACGGAGAGAGGACUAGUCCCUGAGAACUGUGGGUCAUCCCUGAAGGCAGCCUUCUUUCCUUGGCCUUUUCAGCAACACAAGCCAAUGAAUGUCUCUCUGCGCACACGUGAGAUUGUCUCCGGGGAUGUACGUGCAGAAGAAGGUGGCAGGGGGCUCUUCUUCAUCUGUACACGGCGCCGCUGAGCGGCGGUACCAAGAUCGAGUGAAGAGUUCCCGUUCCCACAUCCCUGACGGAGAACCAUUUUCAUCUUUGUCAGUCCAGAGGAAAUUGUACCUCACCGUGGUUUUCGUGAGCCUUCCCUGUUUAGGAGGCUGUCCAUCAUCGUUCCACGUGCGUCUAUUUCAGUUUCCUCUUCUGUUCAAUCCCUUUACCUGCGUUUGCCUUUUGAAUAAAAAGUAUAUCAGCAUGAACUACA